CAUUGUGGCAGACCUUGCUUCCUGACAUUCUCUUUUUCAAUGUAUCAAUCUGGCCUCCUCCAGAUAUUUUCUGAGGAGUGACCCAUCUUCUCCAGCAUCCUGAAAUGCCUCACCAUGUGAAAAUACAGCUUGAACAGCGGUGAAACUUCAAAAUAUGACAUCACAGAAUUCAAAUGAAGCAUCAUCAGUGGAUACUGAACAUCCAUGAAAACAUCCCUUUAUGGAUAAGAACAGAUCUCUUACCCUCCAGCUGGACAUGGCUCCUACUUUAGCGCAUCACCACUCCCCGCAGAUCUUGAGGAGAACAGUAGACUGCUCUGAGAAGUCAAAAUUCAGCAAUCUCUGCCUACAUAUUUAACUCUGAACUACCUUUCACACGUACUCUGCAAAAGUCCUUAUUUAUCAUGUCCCAGGAACUUGUAUGGUGUGACAGGAAGGAUGGGAUUUGAGUUUCACACUGAAAAAUUUUACUUUCUUUUCAAGCUAUUUACAGCUGGAAUGUCAAGGCUGAAACUCUCUGAAUUUAUUAGUACAAUGGAGCUGAAGGGGGAAUGAAACAGCUUUCUUUGUAACCAGAGGAACUGUUGAAUAGCAGGUACAUAGUGUAAGUGUUGGAUUUUGGU